rnacentral:tRNA from 1 species
GGUCGUGUCCGAUAGCGGCUAUUCGAGCUGACUGUAAAUCAGCCGGGCUUCGGCCCUUCGCAGGUUCGAGUCCUGCCACGACCACCA